UACGAAGGGUGCAAGCGUUACUCGGAAUUACUGGGCGUAAAGCGUGCGUAGGUGGUUCGUUAAGUCUGUCGUGAAAGCCCCGGGCUCAACCUGGGAAUGGCGAUGGAUACUGGCGGGCUAGAGUGCGGUAGAGGAGAGUGGAAUUCCCGGUGUAGCAGUGAAAUGCGUAGAGAUCGGGAGGAACAUCAGUGGCGAAGGCGGCCAUCUGGGACAACACUGACGCUGAAGCACGAAAGCGUGGGGAGCAAACAGG
rnacentral:rRNA from 1 species